rnacentral:rRNA from 1 species
GACGAACGCUGGCGGCGUGCCUAAUACAUGCAAGUCGAGCGAAGUUUUUCUGGUGCUUGCACCGGAAAAACUUAGCGGCGAACGGGUGAGUAACACGUAAAGAACCUGCCUCGUAGACUGGGACAACUAUUGGAAACGAUAGCUAAUACCGGAUAAUAGCAUUAACUGCAUGGUUGAUGUUUAAAAGUUGGUUUUGCUAACACUAUGAGAUGGCUUUGCGGUGCAUUAGCUAGUUGGUGGGGUAAAGGCCUACCAAGGCGACGAUGCAUAGCCGACCUGAGAGGGUGAUCGGCCACACUGGGACUGAGACACGGCCCAGACUCCUACGGGAGGCAGCAGUAGGGAAUCUUCCGCAAAGGGCGAAAGCCUGACGGAGCAACGCCGCGUGAGUGAAGAAGGAUUUCGGUUCGUAAAGCUCUGUUGUUAGGGAAGAAUGAUUGUGUAGUAACUAUACACAGUAGAGACGGUACCUAACCAGAAAGCCACGGCUAACUACGUG